UCGCCUGUUUAACAAAAACAUUUCCUCUUGGAAUAGGAGGUAAAGCCUGCUCACUGAAUUUUUAAAGAGCCGCAGUAUUUUGACUGUGCUAAGGUAGCAUAAUCAUUAGUCUUUUAAUUGGAGACUGGUAUGAAUGGUUUAACGAGAAAUCCACUUUUUUUAUUAUAUAAAUCGAACUUAUUUUUUUAGUGAAAAAACUAAAAUUAUCCUGAAAGACGAGAAGACCCUAUAGAGUUUUAUAUAGUAARUUGUCAUGUUGUAGUUGAUUUUCGUCGAUAUGACUUAGUUCUAUAAUUUGUUGGGGCGACAUUAAGAUAUAAAAAACUCUUUUUUUAAAAAACUUUUAUAAACGGAAAGCUUGAUCCUUUAAAAAAGACAAUAAGAAAAAAUUACCUUAGGGAUAACAGCGUAAUCUUUUUUGAGAGUUCUAAUCGACAAAAAGGUUUGCGACCUCGAUGUUGGACUAAAAUUUAUGUGAGGUGCAGUAGCUUCAUGUUAGGGUCUGUUCGACCCAUAAUAUUUUACAUGAUCUGAGUUCAAACCGG
rnacentral:rRNA from 1 species